ACAGCACUCCUACCGGGAGGGCAGCAGUGGGGAAGUAAUUGCACAAUGGGGGAAACCCUGAUGCAGCGACGCCGCGUGAAGGAAGAAGUAUCUCGGUAUGUAAACUUCUAUCAGCAGGGAAGAUAGUGACGGUACCUGACUAAGAAGCCCCGGCUAACUACGUGCC
rnacentral:rRNA from 1 species